rnacentral:misc_RNA from 1 species
GAUGAAGAACGUAGCGAAAUGCGAUAAGUAAUGUGAAUUGCAGAAUUCAGUGAAUCAUCGAAUCUUUGAACGCACAUUGCGCCCGCUAGUAUUCUGGCGGGCAUGCCUGUCCGAGCGUCAUUUCAACCAUCAAGCCCCCGGCUUGUGUUGGGGACCUGCGGCUGCCGCAGGCCCUGAAAACCAGUGGCGGGCUCGCUAGUCACUCCGAGCGUAGUAGUUACAUCUCGCUCAGGGCGUGCUGCGGGUUCCGGCCGUUAAAAGCCUUAUUUACCCAAGGUUGACCUCGGAUCAGGUAGGAAGACCCGCUGAACUUAAGCAUAUCAAUAAGCGGAGGA